rnacentral:rRNA from 1 species
CCUACGGGAGGCUGCAGUGAGGAAUAUUGGUCAAUGGGCGAAAGCCUGAACCAGCCAAGUCGCGUGAAGGAUGAAGGAUCUAUGGUUUGUAAACCUCUUUUAUCUGGGAGUAAAGUGCGGCACGUGUUGCUUUUUGUAUGUACCAUAUGAAUAAGCAUCGGCUAACUCCGUGCCAGCAGCAGCGGUAAUACGGAGGAUGCGAGCGUUAUCCGGAUUUAUGGGGUUUAAAGGGUGAGAAGGCGGAAUGUAAAGCCGGCGGGAAAAUCUCGGGGCUCAACCCCGCCGUGCCGUUGAAACUGGGGGUCUUGAGUGCGGGAGAGGUAUGCGGAAUGCGCGGUGUAGCGGUGAAAUGCAUAGAUAUCGCGCAGAACCCCGAUUGCGAAGGCAGCGUGCCGGGGCGCAACUGACGCUGAGGCACGAAAGCGUGGGGAUCGAACAGGAUUAGAUACCCGAGUAGUC